rnacentral:rRNA from 1 species
GCCGCCCGUACCCCAAACCGACACUGGUGGUCAGGUAGAGAAUACCAAAGCGAUCGAGCGAAUCCUGGUCAAGGAACUCGGCAAAUUGCUCCCGUGCCUUCGGCAUAAGGGAGACCCCCUGCGGUGAUGAGCGGCGGGGGGUGGCACAGGCCAGGGGGUAGCGACUGUUUACCAAAAACACAGGAGCGUGCGAAGGCGCAAGCCGCUGUAUACGCUCUGACGCCUGCCCGGUGCCGGAAGGUUAAGAGGAUCCGUCAGCUUUCUGCGAAGCGGUGAAUUCAAGCCCCGGUAAACGGCGGUGGUAACUAUAACCAUCCUAAGGUAGCGAAAUUCCUUGUCGGGUAAGUUCCGACCUGCACGAAUGGCGUAACGACUUCCCCACUGUCUCGACCAGGAGCUCGGCGAAAUUGCAGUACGAGUAAAGAUGCUCGUUAAGCGCAGAAGGACGAAAAGACCCCGGGACCUUUACUAUACCUUGGUAUUGGCAUUAGGCGCGGAUUGUGUAGCAUAGGCGGGAGGCUUCGAGGCGGGUGCGCCAGCAUCCGCGGAGCCGCAAGGUGAAAUACCGCUCUGUUCUCGUUUGAUGUCUAACCUCGAACAGUCAUCCUGUUCAGGGACAGUGCCUGGCGGGUAGUUCAACUGGGGCGGUUGCCUCCCAAAGAGUAACGGAGGCGCUCAAAGGUCCGCUCGGCCCGGUUGGCAAUCGGGUGUCGAGUGUAAUCGCACAAGCGGGCUUGACUGCGAGAUCGACGGAUCGAGCAGGGACGAAAGUCGGAGAUAGUGAUCCGGUGCCGGCGCACGGGCGCGGCAUCGCUCAACGGAUAAAAGGUACCCCGGGGAUAACAGGCUGAUCAUUCCCAAGAGUCCAUAUCGACGGGAUGGUUUGGCACCUCGAUGUCGGCUCGUCGCAUCCUGGGGCUGGAGCAGGUCCCAAGGGUUCGGCUGUUCGCCGAUCAAAGCGGCACGCGAGCUGGGUUCAGAACGUCGUGAGACAGUUUGGUCUCUAUCCUCUGCGCUCGUUGGAAUCUUGAGGAGGCCUGCCCAUAGUACGAGAGGACCUGGGUGGACGAACCUCUGGUAUGCCGGUCGUCACGCCAGUGGCGCGGCCGGUUGGCUACGUUCGGAAGGGAUAACCGCUGAAAGCAUCUAAGCGGGAAGCCUUCUCCAAGAUAAGGAUUCCAUGCGGCCCCGAGCCGCUGAAGACCCCAUGCAGAACACGUGGUCGAUAGGCCGGACGUGGAAGCCCCGCGAGGGGUGGAGCCGACCGGUACUAAUGGUCGAGAGGCAACCCACA